rnacentral:antisense_RNA from 1 species
GUGGGAGGGGGCUUGCUCCCGAAUGCGAUGUGUCAGGCAAUUAUUUUUUUCUGGUACACCGCAUUCGGGAGCAAGCCCCCUCCCAC